rnacentral:rRNA from 1 species
AUACGAAGGGAGCUAGCGUUGUUCGGAAUUACUGGGCGUAAAGCGCACGUAGGCGGACUUGUUAGUCAGGGGUGAAAUCCCGGGGCCCAACCUCGGAACUGCCUUUGAUACUGCAAGUCUGGAGUCCGGAAGAGGUGGGUGGAAUUCCUAGUGUAGAGGUGAAAUUCGUAGAUAUUAGGAAGAACACCGGUGGCGAAGGCGGCCCACUGGUCCGGUACUGACGCUGAGGUGCGAAAGCGUGGGGAGCAAACAGGAUUAGAAACCCCUGUAGUCC